rnacentral:lncRNA from 1 species
GGUGGCUGAGUCCGUGGUGGCAGAGGCGAAGGCGACAGCUCUAGGGGUUGGCACCGGCCCCGAGAGGAGGAUGCGGGUCCGGAUAGGGCUGACGCUGCUGCUGUGUGCGGUGCUGCUGAGCUUGGCCUCGGCGUCCUCGGGUAGAGGACUGUAUUCAAGAAAUGUCUGCUCUGAUUUCCAUCAUAGUUAAAGCUGUGCCACAACAUUUCAAUGGUAAAGGCAGAAGCCUUAGCCAGAACUAAAACAAUGUAGAUGUGCAUGCUAAAAGGUAAUAAAGGCAGUGCUGUGCUCACAUGAAGUUCAUAUAUCAUAAAACACCUGUGCGGGCCCAGCUCAUACCUGUAAUCCCAGCACUUUGGGAGGCUGAAGUGGAAGGAUCACUUGAGCCCAGGAGUUCAAGACCAACCUGGGCAACAUGGCGAAACCCCAUCUCUACGUAACUCCAGGUGUGAUGGUGCACACGUGUAGUUCCAGCUACUCGGGAGGCUGAGGUGGCAGGAUGGAGUGAGCCCCAGGAGGUUGAGGCUGCACUGAGCUGUGAUUAUGCCACUGCACUCCAGCCUGGACAAUAGAGCGAGACCCUGUCUCAAAAAAAAAGAAAAAAAAACAACCCUGUGUUAAAUAAAGUUGUGUAAAUUAAGCUAUGGAUUUUCAAUUGUGAUUUUCAUUCACAGGGUUUCGGCCUCAAAGUUUAAAGUUUU